GAUUUCUGGUACGGCGCACUUGGCCCGGCUAGGUUACUAGUUUGUGUGCCGGUGUGCGCCUGCCAUCUUUCUGGUUAACAGCUCUACCUUCACUGGUGUGAGUUGAGACCCAGAUCAUUUACUUUGAAAAAAUUAGAGUGUUUAAAGCAGGCUUGUUGCUAUGAAUACAUUAGCAUGGAAUAAUAAUUUAGGACUUUGGUCUUAUUUUGUUGGUUUCUAGGACUAAAGUAAUGAUUGAUAGGGAUAGUUGGGGGUGCUAGUAUUCAGCGGCCAGAGGUGAAAUUCUUGGAUUCGCUGAAGACUAACUUAUGCGAAAGCAUU
rnacentral:rRNA from 1 species